GCAUUCUUGUCCGAGUGGUCUAAUGAGCCAGACUUAAGACCUGGUGUUGAAAAACGCGUGGGUUCGAACCCCACAGAAUGCA
rnacentral:tRNA from 1 species